rnacentral:rRNA from 1 species
GUGAGUUGGCGAACGGGUGAGUAACACGUGGGUAACCUGCCCAGAAGUGGGGGAUAACACCUGGAAACAGAUGCUAAUACCGCAUAACAAAAUUAACCGCAUGGUUGAUUUUUAAAAGAUGGCUUCGGCUAUCACUUCUGGAUGGACCCGCGGCGUAUUAGCUAGUUGGUGAGAUAAAGGCUCACCAAGGCAGUGAUACGUAGCCGACCUGAGAGGGUAAUCGGCCACAUUGGGACUGAGACACGGCCCAGACUCCUACGGGAGGCAGCAGUAGGGAAUCUUCCACAAUGGACGCAAGUCUGAUGGAGCAACGCCGCGUGAGUGAUGAAGGCUUUCGGGUCGUAAAACUCUGUUGUUGGAGAAGAACGUGUGUGAGAGUAACUGCUCAUGCAGUGACGGUAUCCAACCAGAAAGCCACGGCUAACUACGUGCCAGCAGCCGCGGUAAUACGUAGGUGGCAAGCGUUAUCCGGAUUUAUUGGGCGUAAAGCGAGCGCAGGCGGUCUUUUAAGUCUAAUGUGAAAGCCUUCGGCUUAACCGAAGAAGUGCAUUGGAAACUGGGAGACUUGAGUGCAGAAGAGGAGAGUGGAACUCCAUGUGUAGCGGUGAAAUGCGUAGAUAUAUGGAAGAA